GCUGGGUGUGGUGGCACAUGCCUGUAGUCCCAGCUACUUGGGAGGCUGAGGCAGGAGGAUCACUUGAGCCCAGGAGUUCAAGGCUGUAGUGAGCUAUAUGGCACCACUGCACUCCAGCCUGGGUGACAAAGUGAGACCCUGUCUCUA
rnacentral:SRP_RNA from 1 species